rnacentral:sRNA from 1 species
CAUAACACUAAACUCAAACACAACAACCGUAACCACUUCGGCUCAAUGG